rnacentral:tRNA from 1 species
GCCGCCGUAGCUCAGGGGAUAGAGCAAUCCCCUCCUAAGGGAUAGGUCACACGUUCGAUUCGUGUCGGCGGCA